rnacentral:rRNA from 1 species
CAAUAGCGUAUAUUAAAGUUGUUGCAGUUAAAAAGCUCGUAGUUGGAUUUCCGGCGUGAGGGAUCAGUCUGACUUCUAGUCAGUACUUGGUCCUCUCAUGCCGUCCUUGAAUGGUGCAUCCUGGCAUUAAGUUGUCGGGGUGAGAGCCGUUCAUCGUUUACUGUGAGAAAAUUAGAGUGUUCAAAGCAGGCUUAUGCCGUUGAAUAUAUUAGCAUGGAAUAAUAAGAUAGGACUUUGGUACUAUUUUGUUGGUUUGAGAACCAAGGUAAUGAUCAAUAGGGACAGUUGGGGGUAUUCGUAUUCAGUUGUCAGAGGUGAAAUUCUUAGAUUUCCGGAAGACGAACUACUGCGAAAGCAUUUACCAAGGAUGUUUUCAUUAAUCAAGAACGAAAGUAUGGGGAUCGAAGACGAUCAGAUACCAU